ACGCUGGCGGCACGCCUAACACAUGCAAGUCGAACGCAGUAGCAAUACUGAGUGGCAAACGGGUGAGUAUAAUGUGGGAAUCUGCCUUUUGGUUUGGAAUAACACGGGGAAACUUGUGCUAAUACCGAAUAAGCCCUUACGGGGAAAGUUUUAACGCCGAAAGAUGAGCCCGCACUUGAUUAGCUAGUUGGUAAGGUAAAAGCUUACCAAGGCAACGAUCAAUAGCUGUUCUUAGAGGAAGACCAGCCACAUUGGGACUGAGACACGGCCCAGACUCCUACGGGAGGCAGCAGUGGGGAAUCUUGCACAAUGGGGGAAACCCUGAUGCAGCGAUGCCGCGUGAGUGAAGAAGGCCCUUGGGUUGUAAAGCUCUUUCGUCGGGGAAGAAAAUGACUGUACCCGAAUAAGAAGGUCCGGCUAACUUCGUGCCAGCAGCCGCGGUAAUACGAAGGGACCUAGCGUAGUUCGGAAUUACUGGGCUUAAAGAGUUCGUAGGUGGUUGAAAAAGUUAGUGGUGAAAUCCCAGAGCUUAACUCUGGAACUGCCAUUAAAACUUUUCAGCUAGAGUAUGAUAGAGGAAAGCAGAAUUUCUAGUGUAGAGGUGAAAUUCGUAGAUAUUAGAAAGAAUACCAAUUGCGAAGGCAGCUUUCUGGAUCAUUACUGACACUGAGGAACGAAAGCAUGGGUAGCGAAGAGGAUUAGAUACCCUCGUAGUCCAUGCCGUAAACGAUGUGUGUUAGACGUUGGAAAUUUAUUUUCAGUGUCGCAGCGAAAGCGAUAAACACACCGCCUGGGGAGUACGACCGCAAGGUUAAAACUCAAAUGAAUUGACGGGGACCCGCACAAGUAGUGGAGCAUGUGGUUUAAUUCGAAGAUACGCGCAGAACCUUACCAACACUUGACAUGUUCGUCGCGACUCUAAGAGAUUAGAGUUUUCGGUUCGGCCGGACGAAACACAGGUGCUGCAUGGCUGUCGUCAGCUCGUGUCGUGAGAUGUUGGGUUAAGUCCCGCAACGAGCGCAACCCUCACUUUUAGUUGCCAUCAUUAAGUUGGGCACUCUGAAAGAACUGCCAGUGAUAAGCUGGAGGAAGGUGGGGAUGACGUCAAGUCCUCAUGGCCCUUACGUGUUGGGCUACACACGUGCUACAAUGGUAUCUACAACAGGAAGCAAGACUGCGAGGUCAAGCAAAUCCUUAAAAGAUACCUCAGUUCGGAUUGCACUCUGCAACUCGAGUGCAUGAAGCUGGAAUUACUAGUAAUCGUGGAUCAGCGUGCCACGGUGAAUGCGUUCCCGGGUCUUGUACACACCGCCCGUCACACCAUGGGAGUUGGUUCUACCUUAAGGCAAGGUUUCAAACCCUUGACCACGGUAUAGUCAGCGACUGGGGUGAAGUCAUAACAAGGUAGCCGUA
rnacentral:rRNA from 1 species